AAGUACUUGGAGCUUGAAAAACUUGGUCAAGGAGGCUUUGGCUCAGUUUAUGCCGGCCACAGAAGGUCUGAUGAUUUACCAGUGGCGAUAAAACACAUCCCCAACUCGGAUGUGCCCCGUCAAAAAGUGAUGUUAAAUGGGAGGACACGCAGGAUUCCCAAUGAGGUGCUGCUCAUGCACAAAGCCGCAGGCG